UCAACCUGGUCCCAGAUCUGUUUUCCAAUCCCUCCUAGUUUAGCCUGAAAUUCCAAGAAGAUUUACUUAGGUCUGAUUGGCAUUAAGAAUGAGUUGCGGGGAGGGUUCAGCUUCAUAAAGGAGCACUGUGAAGGAAGCAAUAACAUACGCCAGUAACAGAGAAGAUGGGAAAUGAGAUUAAAAUGUUCCUGUCUUUCCCCAUCAGGCCUGUGUAACUGUGUCCAGGAGACCGAUGACGCCUUCGACUGGGUCCACUCCCAAGGCCUGCAGGUGGACCAGCCAUGGAAUGGACCGCUGUACGACCACACGGUCGGAAAUGACAAAGGUACUGUUCUGGACCUGAAGAGCUAGCUACUGUCAUGGACGUUUUACACAGGGACAUUCCAAAUACAUUUUUAAAUCAAACAUUGUUUAUUAUCAGCAUGCUGGAGAGGUCACUGUCAAACUUAGAUGCAUAAAGUACCGGUCUGAAGUGAGCUUCCCCCACGGGGCAGUCCCGUUAGAUCUCUUUAUAUACUGGUUACACGUUACAUAGGCAUAGUUCAUAGGGUUGGUUCCGUCAUGCGUCUGGCACCGUCUCCUACAUAUUCUGGCCGUUCUGCCAGAUGGUCCAAAGCAGGGGGUCAUGUCGCCUUGUGCGUCUGCCACAAGUGUCACUCAAAGUGGCGAAGACUGUCAUUUAAUAAAUGGCUGCUUUGUGUCCUGUGUGUGUGACAGGGUUUUACCUGAUGGUGAAUAUGUCUGGUAGCGUGGACGGUGAGACCGCGGUCGUCUCUGUUCCUCUUCCGUUCCAAACCACGGACCUCUGCGUUGGCUUCUGGUAUUACAUGUUGGGACCCUCUGUGUCCAACCUGGACCUCUUAGUGCAGACGAAAACAUCAAGAACUGUGGUGUGGACUCGCCAAGGCAGCCAGGAUUCAGAGUGGAUGAAUGCACAGGUUCAACUCGGCAUAGUAGACACACAGGAGGUAUGCGCGCACGCGCACACACACACACACACACACACAGUGGUAAUGAGGGCUCAGAACAGGGCAGCACGGCUGACCCUUGGAUGUACACAGAGAGCUAAUAUUAAUAAUAUGCAUGUCAAUCUCUCCUGGUUCAAAGUAGAGGAAGAUAUUGACUUCAUCAAUACUUGUAUAUGUGAGAGGUUUACCUGA
rnacentral:lncRNA from 1 species